UCACUUCUAAUGGCAGGUGUUUGGUUAGGGGAUAGGAAUAGGAACAGGCCCUUACCCCCGCUUUAUAUCCAAACGUUAAUAUUUUAUUCGAGAAUAAUAAUUCUUGGUUAUCUAUAAUAACCGGUUAUAAUUAUUCCCAUCAACAUCUCCAUUUUCUAUCUAAUAUUUUUGUCAUUCCAUAUUAUCUAUCCAAACGUUAUUUUUCUUAUUCCUAAAAACAACCCAAUUUUUAUCUAAAUACUAUCACUACAACAAAAACGGUUUAUAGCGACACUUUUAAAUGUAGGUACAUGUCAAAAAAAUGCUGCUAGCUAAAAUUACCGACACUUUUAAAAAGUGUUGCUAUAUGUGGGGUCGCUAGGUAUAUAAUGACAGUUAAAGAGUGUCGCUAUAACCUAAAAGAGUGUUACUAAUUUACCAACAUUUAUUUAAGCAUUUAGCAACCGCCAAAACUCUAUCUCAUUGGCUGCGGUGGCGGAGGAGGAUGACAGUAAAGGCCCUUCCUCUAGAAUUUCAGUGGAUUGAGUGAAGAGAGAAGAAAAGAUGGUAAUUGAUUUUUCUUUUUUUUCCUUUUCUGUUAGUAAUCGGGCCAAAUGGACUGGGUGUAGUGGGUUGAGUAAAGUAAUCUUUUAUUUUUGAUUGGAUUGGGCUUUAUAUUUAGGCAUUAGUAGAUGUGUUUUUAAGUUUUAGCAUAAAUGGGACACUUACUCAAAAGUGUCCCAAACAUGUGUCGCUAUAAUCUAAUUCUGUUGUAGUGUAUUUUUUUUAUCCCCGAACUUGUACCUAUCCUGUAAUAGUUAGUUUUUACUUAUACCCGAAACAAAUGGUAUCUCGGGAAAGUGGCUUUGGAGGUCUCUCUUUAAUGCAUCUGCUUUGACAAGAUGGUUUUAUAUAUAUUAUAUAUAUAUAUAUAUAUAUUUUUUUUUUCUUAUUUUAUUUUACCAUAUCUU
rnacentral:lncRNA from 1 species